rnacentral:lncRNA from 1 species
UAAAAUGUCUCCAACGUUGACAAUAAAGGCAUCUGGUAGUGGUUUAACAGGAACCCAAAUCCCAUCUUUCUUCACUUGGAGACCAUCCAUUUCAUUGACUUGUAGGAGGAUGGUGAGACCUACACUAUCAGAAUGAGGUGUAAGACCGAUGACUUUCCCUGGAUGAGGACAUGGAGGGUAAUAGUUCAUCCUCAUUUGUUGCAUUCCAUCUUCAUACAACUUGGUCACUUCCUUGUCUUCCAUUUGUAAAGCAGUUUCCAUUUGGGAUAGGAUAGUCAUGGAUAGGUUCCUCAGCUCCAAUGAGUAAUCAUCUAAGGUCUCUCUACAUGUAAAAAAUAACUUGGUUAUCGAAAUUCAGUCACCUACAUAUAUAUGCAUAAAUUCUAUGUGCAGGAUGUUUGGUCUUUAAUUCUUAAAAAUUGAAUUGAUCUAUAUGUGCAUCAAUAUUGUUGGUGAAAAUGUAUCGAUAACAUGUCGAUAAAUUUUGUUGACAACAAUGAUUUACACACAUUGUCGAGGCCAUAUUGAUAGCUUGUGUUUAUUAUUAUUGGAAGCCGGACGUCAUGUAUGUAUCCAUACUAAAAAUAAUGCCAAAGAAAAUGAACACUUAAUUGGAUCAUUAAAUUGUAUCGAGGUGGACCUAUAUACAUCAUGGAUUCACGCACAUUCAUAUAUAUAAUCAUAUUGCACAAAAUCACAAACAUAUGGAUAUGCACACAAAGUAAUAAGAUGAGAUGAUGAGAGGAGAGGACCUGAAAGGAGAAGGGAGGUUUGGGAACAGACGAGGCCUCCUUAUUUGAACUGGAAGGGUGGUCAUGAAGAAAAGGUCAGCCCAAUCGAGCUUUUGGUCUUCUGAAACUACAAAGGCUUGUCCAAAACCUUCCACGUCUCCUGGGGUUUGCCAAAGCUUUUUCUUCUCUUCCAUGGGAAGGUUGAAGAAGUCUUGAACUUCUGUCUUUAUUUUCUCCAUCAAGGAAGAGCUCACUCCAUGGUUUACCAACUGUGACAUGCAUAUACUAUGUUAUGUUGUACACGAUUACUUUUUAAAUGCCUAGUUAGUAACAAGUAAAAAUACGUUCUUAUUACAUGUAUAAUUACACGAUUAGUUGCCUAAAGUCGAAUUUGUGAACUUGUUUUAUUUAUGUAGCAACUGUCGUUCAGCACUUCUUCCAACAAAAUGAAGAUUUCACAAUAUAAAAAAUAUAUCUCUCUUAAGAAGGAAAAAAAAAAAAACACACACACACACACACAGAACUAUGAUACUCAGCAGCGAGCCACUUCUAGGCCUAGAGUGAAGCUCCCCAUAUCUUAUAACAAACAUCUUAUAAUUUAAGUUAAAAUUCCCACCGAAACAAAUUAGCCCCUUGACGAUACGCUACUAAUACUUGUACUUACUUUACCAAUUUUGGCCCAACAUUUCCAAUAACUUCUGAUUGAAGUAUAUUAUUGCUCCAUCAAUAUAAUAUACUAUCACAAGUGUGAUGUCAUCUUCUAAUUAAUUCCUCAAAACAGUCCAAAGGAGUGAAAAAUGGUGUCUACCUGAAAGAAACCCCACUCUUUGCAAGCAAAAUGGAGCUUAGCUAACUCAGAUUCAGAAUCAAUUGAGUCUUGAGAAAGCAACUUGUGCAUGUCAAUGAAUGGUAUUUCCGCAUCAGAGUUGAAUAUCACUUGAUCUUGUUGGUGAUGGUGAUGAUGAGGCUGUAUGUAUCUGGGUGGGAUGGUGAUUAUAUGCUUCUUGGCCAAUUCUUGAACACUAGGCACAAUAAGAGAGCCACCGUACAAGCUCCUCGAUGCCUUUUCUUCCAUAGCUUUGCCAAAGCUAACUAAUAUGGCUGCUUAAUCUGGAUAUUUUUUUAUUUGCUUGACUCUAUCUUUUAUAGAAUUUAAAUUUUGGUUUUGUCCUUUUUUAUUUUUUUUAUUUGCUCGACUCUCCACCGACCACCCCCCCCACCCCCCACCCCACACGUUAAAUACACGUGAGUCAGUUUUGUUUUCUUGUCUGGACUUGAACUAGCGGUUGGAUAUGGGACCAAUGGGCAGGGCAGCAAUAAUCAAUGACUAGCCCCUUGACACAUGCUCACGCAUGUGCCAAUUGAUUUUCUUUUUUUUUUUUAUUUUUUUUUUAAAAUUAAUAAAAGAUAACAGGGUAGUUAUGUUCCAUCAAAGUAGGACCUAUUAUCUUAUUUUGUUUUUAAUUUUAAUUUUUUUAAUAUUAAAAAUGUGAAUUUACUAUAUUAUCCUCAUUUAAUUAAUAAUUUCAAUUCUUAAUGUUUGAAUUAACAAAGGGCAUUUUCUGGUAUUUUGAAUGUUUCACCAUUCUCUGCCUUUUGCUUUAUAUAUAUAGAUUUAAGAUUUGUGACCAUUAUUGUGAGGAAAUUUUGGAAUAAUUUUGCACGUGCCGUGAGUGUAUAUAUAUAAAGAUUAAUUAGGAUUUGUUUUAAUUAACACGGGAGGUGGAUUAGAAUUUGAAAUUUCUUUUAGGUCCCUUGAUAUUGAAUGUGAUUCCUUGUCUGUUGUCUCUCUGAUUGCUAAGGAUUGUAAUCAUUCACAUCCUCUGUUUUUUGUCUAUUGUCUGAUUGAAGAUGGCAAGUUGUUAUUUAACCGUGAUUGGAGAUGCAAUGUCUCUCAUAUUUAUAGGGAGCAAAACAGAGCAGUUGAUCACCUUCCUAACUUGGGGUAUGAGUUACCCUUGGAGCUUCAUAACUACGAGUCUGCUCAUAUCUCCCUCUCAAGCUUGCUGUUGGAUGAUGAACUAGGGAGAGCCCAAGGUAGGGCUGUGCCUUGUUAGCUUUUUUUUUUUUUUUUUUUUUUUUUCUUUUUUGGCUAAGGCCUGCCUUGUAACCAAAAAAAAAGGAAAAAGAAAUUUCUUUUAACAUUAAGAAGAGAAGUGUCACUAAAAUAAUUACUAAUUUUAAAUUAAUUAUAGUUAACCUUUUAAUUAUAUAUUGUAUACUAAAGGUUGUAGGUAUCAUCAACGGUUUUACACCUCAUAUGGUGAUUACAGUAGUAGCUAACAAGCAGCAUUCUAAAAAAAUACGGUUGAUUAAUUUCUUGGAUUAUGCUCACAUCAAUGGUCACAAAUUCAUAAAUUGACAAUAGUCGAAAUUGAUUUGUGCAAGUUGUAUGUACCACACAAAAUAUGCGUAGUAUUUGACUCAACAAGACAAAUAAAAAAUCAAGUUAUAUCGGAAAUGACACAUGUUGCGUAGUAUGUGCCACACCAUUUGCUUCACGGAAAACAAAAACAGAUAACACUAUCAAGUCAAGUCAAUUUAAAAGCCUAAAAGCUUAAAAGAAGGAUGAACUAUAUAUAGGUGCUCCACUUUAUUUAUAUCUAAGGGUGAUGAACCUAUUUAAGCUAUAAGGAUGAAGUAAAAGAAGAUGAACUAAGCAGAUAUGGGCUUAGCCAAAUUAGCUAAAGCGGAUGUGCUCCCUACUCUACACUUGAAUUUGAAUCCCUAUUUCCAAAGUUGAGAUUAGAUUAAAGUAAAAACAAGAAAGAAAGAAGAAGAUGAACUUAUAAGAGAUGAGUUUAUAACUUUCACAUCACAUUAGUUGCAACAAUUUAUUUAUAAUUAAGAGACUGGAGGUACUAAUGAUGAGGAUCAUAAUCAGCUAGGGCAUGAUUAUUCUCAUUUAUUAGAUAGUAAAGGGCUAUAUAUUUGAAAUGAUAUUAAAGGGCAGCAACCUCUUCACAUUUCAAGAGCAACCAACAAAAUAAACUCUAUUGGCAGGGCACACUUCAUCAGUUGGACACCAUCUGCACUGGUAGGCUUUGGUUUAUUUCUUCAGAAAAUUAGAUACCACUAAUACAUGGUUGCAAUUCCACGCUCACAGAUUGUCUAAAUCUCACCACCAUCUUACUUUAUCCUAAGUUCUUCAAGAAAAGACUUUCCUUGAAGCUUACGUUCAAAAAGGGCUUUCACAUAAUCUUGAACUCCCACCCUUUUAUAUACUGCAGGUGUUUGCUCAGUGACCAAGCUAGCCGGACCAAUUUCAACAUCAAGUGCUGGGUUGUGAAAUGUGGCGAUUGACAGCCGUUCUUUUACAGAGUUAACUGUUGCACGAUGCUCAAUGCUUCGAUAAAUCCCAUUUGUUUGAAUCUGCCAUGAGUCCCAUAUACACACACAAAAUUAUGUAGCUGCAGUAGAUAAAAUGAUUAUGUAUGAAUCUUGAUUUGAAAUUACUGUUGAACACAUCUCUCACAAAGCAACGUAACUCAAACAAUCGAGUCUAGUUCCAUCUACGUGAGAGAUAUGCAACUGAUUGACACUAUUAUCAGUAAAUAUGGCACAAAUAGAAGAAGGCAAACAUUACAGCCCCAUAUUGUAAAAUGACAUGUUUAAACAGGGGUAAUGUUUCCUAUUUAUUUUUGUGUCGAUAUUCUUCUAUAUGUUAUGUUGUAGAACUAUGUACUAUAGAUUUACACAAGUAUUCACCAUAGGAUCAGUUAUGUGAAAUUGAGAGCCAUACGAUUACCUCUAAAAUGUCUCCAAUGUUGACAAUAAAGGCAUCUGGUAGUGGCUUAACAGGAACCCAAAUCCCAUCUUUCUUUACUUGGAGACCAUCCAUUUCAUUCACUUGUAGGAGGAUGGUGAGACCUACAGAAUCAGAAUGAGGUGUAAGACCGAUGACUUCCGCCGGAAGAGGACAUGGAGGGUAAUAGUUCAUCCUCAUUGAUUGCAUUCCAUCUUCAAAUAACUUGGUCAGUUCCUUGGCUUCCAUUUGCAAAGCAGUUUCCAUUUGUGAUAGGAUAGUCAAGGCU